rnacentral:rRNA from 1 species
UGCCAGCCGCCGCGGUAAUACGGAGGGUGCAAGCGUUAUCCGGAAUCACUGGGUUUAAAGGGUGCGUAGGUGGCACGAUAAGUCAGAGGUGAAAGCCCGGCGCUCAACGUCGGAAUUGCCUUUGAUACUGUUGUGCUUGAAUCAGGUUGAGGUAGGCGGAAUGUGGCAUGUAGCGGUGAAAUGCAUAGAUAUGCCAUAGAACACCAAUUGCGAAGGCAGCUUACUGGACCUGCAUUGACACUGAGGCACGAAAGCGUGGGGAGCGAACAGGAUUAGAUA